rnacentral:misc_RNA from 1 species
CUCAAUUUUCCUUUUUCAAGUGAACGGGCAUAGAAAAUGGGAUAAUUAUUAAAUUCAAUUCCAUUAACAUGGUAAGUUGAAUCUGAUCACACAUCACUUGGAGCUUCAACGCAAGAAUCAGCAGAAUGGACAAUCAUCCUCAAGACAAUUCCCCGUUUACACAUCUUUCGCACAUACAGAACAGAACAGCAGAUUAAGCAGGUUAUAGUGCAUAAACCUUUAAAACAAGUUCCAUCAUCUAUUUAGAAACAUACCAGAUAACCAGAAUAUCAAAUCAAAUGCAACUCAAAACAUUUAAUCGAACAAGUCUCAAAAACGGUUGCUAAAACUAAAAUUAGAAGACAACAAAAUGAAGCAUUUCCAUAAAAGCAACCUCCAGCCAUCAACUUCAAGCAGCAAAAGCUGAAGGUAACAGGAGAACACCGCAUCUUGUUGAAAUUCCAAACGCCUACUUGGAUCUCUGCCUCAUCUUUCGGCGCUUCCUCUUCAAUCUCCUCAUUCGCUUCUUCUUCCACUGAAAUGUACAAGUAAUAAUACAUUAUCCUUUUAUUAUAAAAAAGUUAAGAUUAAAACAAUUUAAACAAAAGUAAUUGCCAUCAUUAUACAUUAACAAUAGGCUUGAAGAACAAACCCAAUACACUGAGAUAAAACAACACAAAAUUUUCAGCUACACAAGAAAAUGUAAUCUUUCAUGACAGUUUUCAAGUAAGUUUAACAUUACCUCAAACAUCAAGAAAAAUGUAAAAUAUGAUACCAAUCAAUAAGUAAUUAAAAAAAACAUGAUUGAAAGAAUCAGAACCCAUCACACACUGGACUAUAUAAAUCUCUAAAGAUAAGAAAUCAAAUAUCUAGGAAACCCUCCAGUAAUCACUAAACAAUAUCUCCACGGGAUGGAAGAAGAACCAUGCAUCCAAUACGGAACCAUUUAAACAUAACCAACAAUGGAAACAAAUUUGCUAGAUAUCCUUCAGCCUAAAACAAUAUUUCUCAACAUAAUGCGUUGAUUUUUCUGAACUUGUAUACAAACCAGCAAAGUGAUCACCAAUACACAAUAAGCAGAAGUUGCCACAAAUAAACUCCAUCAUUCCCUUUUCGUUCCCUCACUUAAUGAAGAAAUGCAAACAAAAAAUUCAUAACCAGCGAUCACAAAAGGAAUAAUAGUAAUGACCAUCUCCAAUUCCAUCUAAGUUAGAUACAAUUUCCAUAGGUUUUUUGUUAAGUAAAAUAUAGCAUACGUUACACACUAACUUCUCCUCCAUCAUAUUAUCAAAAAGUGUUCAAAAUCUAGAAAACACCCAAAAUUAACCAGGCCAAUAUAAGCAUUUAAACAACAAGAUACAACGCAAACCAUUAAAACCAAUAUCAACAAUUCAAGCCACACGUACCUUAGCUCUCAUCCUGUGUCAAGCUCUCCGGAUCCGCUUGUCUCACCCUGCACAGCCGCUCCUCUGGAAUGAACCAGAGUUUCUAAUCCAAGUUUUAAGACGGAAAAUAUUAAUGGCCUCUCUCUGAUAUUUAUAGCCGACAAGAAACCCUAAUCCGCCCUAGCCUCACGCUUGAAGUUGAAGGUUAUUUUCG